AUGCAAUCUUUGAUUUCAAAACAAUCCAACAAAAAUAAACAUCCAAACACACCGAAUUCCAACAACUCAUACUACCUCUUCGUCAUAGAAAUAUCAACCACAACCUUCAUCCUCUUAUUGUUCUAUUUCCGACAAACCGAUCCCCGAGACAUUUGUUCCACCAUCGGCCCCAUCACAGUUGGUGGUGUUAAGAAACUUUGGCACUUUGUUAUUCCACAUGCGGUUAAUUUUACUGAUACUGCACAUGGAUGUUGCUAA